rnacentral:rRNA from 1 species
GAUGAACGCUGGCGGCGUGCCUAAUACAUGCAAGUCGAGCGAACAGACGAGGAGCUUGCUCCUCUGACGUUAGCGGCGGACGGGUGAGUAACACGUGGAUAACCUACCUAUAAGACUGGGAUAACUUCGGGAAACCGGAGCUAAUACCGGAUAAUAUAUUGAACCGCAUGGUUCAAUAGUGAAAGACGGUUUUGCUGUCACUUAUAGAUGGAUCCGCGCCGCAUUAGCUAGUUGGUAAGGUAACGGCUUACCAAGGCGACGAUGCGUAGCCGACCUGAGAGGGUGAUCGGCCACACUGGAACUGAGACACGGUCCAGACUCCUACGGGAGGCAGCCGUAGGGAAUCUUCCGCAAUGGGCGAAAGCCUGACGGAGCCACGCCGCGUGAGUGAUGAAGGUCUUCGGAUCGUAAAACUCUGUUAUUAGGGAAGAACAAAUGUGUAAGUAACUAUGCACGUCUUGACGGUACCUAAUCAGAAAGCCACGGCUAACUACGUG